CGUCCGCAAGUUUAAAACUCAAAUGAGUUGACGGGGGCCCGCACAAGCGGUGGAGCAUGUGGUUUAAUUCGAUGCAACGCGAAGAACCUUACCUACUCUUGACAUCCAGAGAACUUAGCAGAGAUGCUUUGGUGCCUUCGGGAACUCUGAGACAGGUGCUGCAUGGCUGUCGUCAGCUCGUGUUGUGAAAUGUUGGGUUAAGUCCCGCAACGAGCGCAACCCUUAUCCUUUGUUGCCAGCGGUUCGGCCGGGAACUCAAAGGAGACUGCCAGUGAUAAACUGGAGGAAGGUGGGGAUGACGUCAAGUCAUCAUGGCCCUUACGAGUAGGGCUACACACGUGCUACAAUGGCGUAUACAAAGAGAAGCGACCUCGCGAGAGCAAGCGGACCUCAUAAAGUACGUCGUAGUCCGGAUUGGAGUCUGCAACUCGACUCCAUGAAGUCGGAAUCGCUAGUAAUCGUAGAUCAGAAUGCUACGGUGAAUACGUUCCCGGGCCUUGUACACACCGCCCGUCACACCAUGGGAGUGGGUUGCAAAAGAAGUAGGUAGCUUAACCUUCGGGAGGGCGCUUACCACUUUGGAA
rnacentral:rRNA from 1 species